rnacentral:lncRNA from 1 species
UACCUUUGUAGCAGUUGACUAUUGUGCUGCUACAUCAGUCAAUGGGUAUGACUCCUUCGUGUAUCACUUGGUUAACUAUAUGGGUGACUAGGCUAUAACCAACAUUCUUACCUCUGUAAGUGCUAGUCUUAUCAGUAUUCGUUGCAGUAAAUUUAGGUAUAGUUGGUGUUAUAUCCAUAAUCUCAUCUAUAUAGUCAACUUAUUCUUGUUCUAACAUGAACUCCGCAUUUGAUUAGCUUUCUCUAUGGGAUACUAACAACUCAACAACAUCAUUUGAAUGCAUCACAUCAUUCUGAAUUUGAUGUUUCUGUUAGUGGAAAACUUGUUGAAUCAUAGAUACAGUCUAAUCAUACAUUUUUCCAAGCACCAUUCAUAGUUGAGGGUUUCUCUUUCCCCCAUGACUUAGUUGUGCUCUCCAAAGCAUCCAUUAUGUUCAACUUCCAAAAGUUCCUCACUGUCAAUUAUGAGGGAGUGAUACUAGAGCUGUGAAAUCUUGCAUGCAUUAAUUUCAACACUUUCUUAUUAAUAACUGCAUUGUUUCUUUCCAAGUAAACUGAUAUCUGACUCUUCAAAAGUAACUUGUAGUGACUUCUCUUGAAAAGCAACAAAAUUGGCACCAUGGUGUUAUCAAGUACCUGCAGAAAAAGGAUUUAACCCCCAAGAAGAUUCAUGCUGAUAUGGUUGCUUCAUUAGAGUAUGACACUCCACCUUUAUCAAAGCUGAGGAGGGGAAGGAAGAAUCUUGAAGCUGACCCAAGGUUGGGAUGUCCUGCAACUGCCACCACUGAAUAACACAUUGAUCAUAUUCACCACAUGAUGAGGGAUGACAGAUUGAUUAUAAAUCAAAUAGCCAAUGCUAUUAGUAUAUCUCAUGAGAGAGUUGGGAAUAUUCUACACAAUGAACUUGACAUGACAAAGGUUUCUGUUUGGUGACUGCCAUGUCUUCUAACACCUGAUCAAAAAUGCACCAGGCUGAUCACAUCACAGGGAAAAUCAAACAUUGUUUGAGGCAGAUCCAGCUGGUACCCUUGAAUAUUUCCUAACCCCGAGUGAUAGUGGAAACUUUCCUCCUUGCUUACUCCAAAGAAAGCUAAGGUCAUUACAACUGCUGGGAAGGCAUUGUGUUUAUUGACUAUUUUCAAAAGGGCCACCAAUAGAAAGUACUAUGCCAACUUGCUGAGGCAGUUAUGAAAGGCUGUCAAGACCAAAUGCCUAUAAAAACUGACUUUGCCUUUCAGGGUUGAUGAAUUAAGUACCAGUUGAACACUGGAGUCAAUGUAAUUGACUCACCCCCUUCCCUGUUAUUGCUGACAUGCCAAAAUUUGAAACCAAUAUUCUGACAAAAAAAUGUUUGUUAACCAUUCUUUAGAAAGAUUCUUAGUCAUACAUGUUUUUUUGAAUGCCAAAUUAGAGGUAAAGCUUGAAGUGAUAUUAUAAGUAGCAUAUCUUCCCAGAGGUGUCUGACUAUGUUUGUUAGUUUUAGAUCCAGGUGUUGAUUUUUCUUCUUUAGAAACAAACUUUCCAGCAAGCUUGCUCUGCCAGAAAAGUGCAAUUUCAACAUUGUAUAUUUGCUUUGGUAUGUAAGCUCAGGUCAUUUUCUUCUGCUGCUCAGGACAGUUAGUAGUAAUCACUAUUUCAACACUGACAACAUCACCAAUAAUUUUUAUGCUGUGCAAAUUUAAAUCCUUGAGCCUUUCAAACCAACCUUUCUUAGUCUGAAAAUGUUUUUCAUUAUGUCAUUCACACUUUUAAUCUCUUUUUCUUCUUUAAAUUGCCAUUAUGCUUUGAGCAUGAUCCUUAGUCCAUACAUUUGAGCUGCCAUUCUAUUUUAAGCAUUACAUUAGAUCUAUGAACGAACAAGAUCUAAGCAGUUAUACAUAGUAGCUUCUUGAGUACUCAAUUUUCCCUUUAUUGUUAAGUUUUGUUGACUUUGUAAACAUUGCAAGUUUUAAUAUUUAGGCAAUUUUUUUCUCCCACACCAAGCCCUUUUAAAACACUAAGUGUAAAGAAAUUAUACAUACAGUGUAAUCCCUUUAGGAUUCUACACUACUACCUUCAUUUCCAUUUGAUGGUUUCUUUCCAAACAACUUGGAAUGUUGAUAAAUCCAACAGUGGUGGUGAUCAAUAAGUAUUCACAACAAAUAUGUAGUAUAUAGUACUCACCAGGAAAGAAUUGUUUUUCUAUGGUUGUAAGAAUGGAAAUAAAAUGAAAGGGUAUCAGAGUGAGGUGGGAAGAAGUACAUGCGGAUUACAGUUAGUUAAAAGGUUACCAAGUCCACAAGCAUUUUGUCCCUUGCACCUCAAACUUAAACCAAAGAAACCUCCACCAUUCAUACACAUGCUCUCUAUUGUCUUAACAUAAGAAAUGUUGCCACAGGCGUUGCUAUCAUUGAUACAGUUACUGUUAUUGCCAAUUAGCUAUUCAUAAUUGGGUGUGGGGAGGUAUUGUUAGUCUCCAAUAAAUCAUUGAUGUCUCAUUCAGCUUUUAAAAUAUAUAAGAUGUGUACUAUGUCAAUCUCUUUUAUUUUAGAAGGGGUUGCUUAUCUUGUUCAUACUAUUGGUGGUGGUGGUGGUUAUUAAUGAGUUGGGUGAUAAGAGCAGAUGCUGUUUCUGUAUUGAUGUUGAUAAUAGUUGUGGAUGUAAAGAUUGGUUUUUGUAUAUGUGUACCGUAAAAACAUGUAAAUUGCACACCUGUGUAAUUUACACAGGUGAUUUUUAGGAUAAAAUUUGUUAAAAAAAGUUUCUUAUGUAAAAUUCACACCAAAAAGUUUUCAGUAUUGCCGAUAUAGCUAGGGAAAAAGGUUUUCACUUUAGUUGUAUUUAGCAUAAUUUCACUUAACUUAUGAUUAGAUUUUAUUAAAUUUUCAUUAAAUAAAAAUAAUUUUGUUUAACAGGUAUCACAUUGAAAGCUUUUAAAUUACAAAGUGUUUGUAUUGUUUAUAAUAAACUUUAUUUUACAUUUCUUGCUCACAAGAGAUUAUAUCCAAUCUUUAACAUACUGCUGUAUGCCUUUUCAAAUCAUGAUCACAGGAAAAGUUGUUGAUAAGAAUUACCAACAAAAACAAAGCUCAUAAAUAC